rnacentral:lncRNA from 1 species
AGAUAUCUCCAAAGAUCUGAUUCUUUAAGAGCCCCACCAGAGAAAAGAGACAAGUAGAUGUAUUAUCGCUUCCAUAGAGAUCAUAGUCAUGACAUCGAGGAAUACAGAUAGCUACGAGAUAAGAUAGAAACCCUGAUAUAUCGGGAUUAUCUUGAUAAAUAUGUCAGACCGAUCAAAUUCAGAGAAUAUAGGCCUCCAGCAGAAGAAACUUCUAACGAUCACAACCGACCAACUGCUGGUGUUAUCAAUAUGAUAUCCAACAUUCUGCUGGCACUGAUGACCUAUCCCCCAA